GGUGUUUUGAAGUCUCCUUCUUCAUUUUCCUUGCAAACUUGCAGAUAGUGGCAGUGGCAGAGAGUAAAUUGUUGUAGCAGGCCUAAGAGAUUGGACUCGCAGCAGGUGACCGUUAGUGGGAGGAGCCGAGCGUAGCGCGUAGCUCGUAGCUCGUAGCCUCCCCAAACAUUGGGAAGUAAUGUAUAAAAAAGGGAGUUGAGGAUCAAUCUAGGGUCGACCAAUCAUUCUGUGUUGAUGUUGGGCGAGCAGCACCGAUCUAGCCGAGCGUGGGCUAAGAGUCACGCCAAUCCCUUAUACUGCCAAGGGAGCACGCAGUACCAGAACCACUUGUUCGAUGCGGAUGACCGCAUUGGUAGAUUUAUCCACGAGGCAGAAUUUUAUGGGAUUUAUUGUAUUGGUCAUAUCCAGUUGGAUUGACAUUUAGUGAUAGCAUUCGUGGAGCGAUGGAGGACGGAGAUGCAUACGUUCCACCUACGACACAGUGAUGCGACUAUCAUGCUUCAGGAUGUUGUGGUAUUGUUCAACCUGCCCAUUGAGGGAAAGCCCAUCACUAGUCAUGCCAUCGGACCAAUAGACAGUCCUGCAGGCCAACAGGGAUGAAUCACAUUGUGUCGUAUAUGCAAGCAGUUGUUAGGGGUCAUGCCACCUGUUAGUGAUAUGGCAGGUGCUUGCAUCCGCAUGCAGUAUCUAGAGAAGGAGUUUCGUCAUCUACGAGCAGAUGUAGAUGCCGAGACUGUAGCACACUACACACGAGCCCACAUUUUGCUUUUGAUAUGUGGGAUGCUAUUUUCUGACCUAUCGGGAAAUUACGCACAUUUGAUGUUCCUCCUAAUACUAGAGGACCUCACGCAGACUUGCUUAUACAAUUGGGAGUCUGCGGCUUUGGCUUGGCUGUACAGGGAGAUGUGCUGCGCCACACACCUGUCGAGGCGGGAGAUUUUUGGCCGACCAUGCUUACUAUAAUUCUGGGCCUGGGAGAGAUGCCCCUCCCUAGAUUCUUUCCACCUCAGUGUGCUAAAGAUUCAGAGGGACGAAGACGGUCAACUAGUUGACCCAGUCCCACUCGCAUGCUAGUUAGUAACAAUAUCGAUUAUAAUGCAGUUGUGCUCUAACAACUCCGAAUACUACUUCAUAGUACUUACUGCUCAUUACAUUCUAAUAUUUAUGUUUUCAUUUUGUACAGAUGGAAGGAUGAGAUGAGGGCUCUGUCAGUUGCAUAACAUACAUUACCCUGGUACACGUUCGAGUCAGACAUGCUUUGGGAGCAUAAGUUCAUAUGAAGGUCCUACACCAAUGAAUAAUGUAGUCUAGCAGGUGUACCAUAAAGUCCUAUUCAUUCGAGAUCAAAUCAAUGCAGCAUAGAGUCGGCAGAAAAGUUACGCAGAUACUCACCGCCGAGAAUUGGAAUUUGAAGUGGGUAAUGAUGUGUUUCUAAAAAUAGCACCACUGAAGGGUAUCAUGAGAUUUGGGAAGAAUGGUAAGUUGAGCCCUAAGUUCAUUGGCCCAUUUGAGAUACUCGAGAGGAUUGGGUCAGUGGCUUAUCGGCUAGUUUUACCACCAUAUUUAUUGAGGAUUCAUGACGUGUUUCAUGUCUCUGUGUUAAGAAAAUACGUCCCAAAUCCUUCCCAUAUCAUUAGCUAUGCAGAAUUGGAACUCAGUGGUGAUCUAGCAUACGAAGAAGCUCCAAUUGGGAUCCUAGAUAGAAAAGAACAGAUAUAGCACGACAAAUGGAUACCGUUAGUGAAAGUCUUGUGGAUGAAUCAUGCGGUAGAAGAAGUCUCGUGGGAACUUGAAGAUGAGAUCAAACAAAAAUAUCCCCACUUAUGUAGUGAACACAGCAGUGAUGUAUAGAUUAAAGUAAUAGUAAUUUUAUUUUUUUUAGCACACAAUGGAAUAGUAAUGUAAUAUAUAGGAUAGGUAGUAUUUUAGUUUUGGGGGAAUUUUUUUUCAUAAUUGUAAUCUCCCAGAACUACCCAUGUAACCACGAUAUUCCUCCGCUAUAAGUGAGGGCGGGUAAUAAAAUAAGUAGAUUGUUUUUCCUUU